ACCCCGGGCAGUGGAACGCAGAAUUGGCGGACUGUUUUCAGCCAGGAGCGAGGGCGCCGCCAGGUCACCGUGUGCCGUCCUGUCCUGUCAGUGCGUCUGUGUGGCCCAGUAGCUCAGGGAAGCCGGCAAGUCUGGAGCAAGAGCAUGGGGCGAGUGUCACUGGAGACGGCCGGGCUGGCGGCAAGGAGCAAUCGGGAAGACCGCGGGGCCUCGCCGAGGGGACGAGCCGGGAAACCCUCCUUCCCAGGUGGGUGCUGGACCCCGUGUUAGAGCAAGAGGAAAGAAAAGUUGGGAGCGUUCGCGCACCUGCAGAUGGGAAGAAGUGAGCGGCGACCCCGGUUCUGACCCCCGCUUCGGGGUUCCCCGGUUGCGAGGGGCUGAGCCCGGGUCCAGAGGGGGCUCGGCGGAGCACAGGAGCCCCGGGGUCCUUUGCCGAGCGGCUGGAGGCCUGGCGGGGCUGGCCGGCCGAGCCUCAUUCGCAGGGUCCCGGACUUGGGUCCCACGUUGGGGGAAAUUUCUGGGCUGGGGCCCACGUGAGACAUCGCCGUGCUCACCUGGGCCCCGCAGACUGGCUUCUCUGGUGGCUCCGGGCGGGGGGCCCUGGCAGGGGCGGUGCUCGGGAGGGGAGGCGGGGAGAGGGUCCGGGGGCCGGAGGGUCCCCCCGCUCCCUCCUCGCCCCACCUUCUCCCCUUCCGGAAUCGAAACCGAAACCUCGCCCCGCGCACCUUUCCGAGGGACCAAGAAGCCGAGACUUGGUGGGACGGGAGCUCGGAGCCGAGGACGCAGGCCUCCAGGGAGACACCUCACGACCCGCAUCGCGGGACGGCUCGUUGGUCUAGGGUCUUUUCAGGGCAUGAACGGAGGCCCCAGCAGAUCCCCGUAGGGACGGACCAGAGACGGUCCCGGUGCGCGGCAGACCCAGAGCGCACCUGGACCCCGGUGGCCGGAUGAGGUCUGGGCCCCAAGGCCGGUGUCCAGGUGUGCUCAGUGGACAAGGGGACGCCUGGACCCUGGUUACGGGCAGCGGUUUCCCCUGAGGGCUCCCCAAAUUUCUUAACGUCCUUCCUCAUCCUUUCUCCACCUGUAGACACUCAGCUUCCAUCUGGGUCCGAGCGGGGUGCAGAUGCACGUCUUGGAGCCUGGGGGCAGAAGGUGACACUUGGGUCAGAGCGGGGGGUCCCUCCAGUGUAUGGCUUGGGAGGGGUGGGGUCCCAUGGGAGAGAGAACGGUCCCGCUCCAGGGGUGCGGGGUCCAAAACCUGUUCUCAGCUCCACUCCACAGCCCGGCCCUGCGCGUGGUGACAGAAGGAGGGUCUGGGGGAGCUUUCCCAAGCCGAUAGCCUCAGUUUCCCAUUGACAGGAAGAGCGGCCACCCCAAAACCCAGACUGGGACCUGCUGCCUUGGAGUCUUAGCGUGUGGCAGUGCUGCCCCCCACCCCCUGCCAUUCUCCUGUCCAUAGAGACCUGAAUCAAACCCUUCUCUGACACCCACAGGAAGUGGGGACAGUUCCUGACCAACGAGCCAGAGCCGGAGGGGUGGCUCCUUGGUCUAGGGCUUUGAUUCUCCGUUAGGGUGCGCGAAGUCCCAGGCCCAAAUCCUAGCCGAGCCCUGCUUUUGAGAGUGUUUGGCAGUGGGCGCGCUGCAAUCACCAGGACGCGUGGACAUGCCCCCCCAGGCUGUCACCCUCCCCUACUCAUAGUGGUCCGGGGCCCUCUGCCCUGAGCGCCUCCCCACUGACUGAUGAUCGUGCCCUGGAGUCCCACGUACACCCUGACCCCCAAAGGGACAACUUAGCAAAAACUGGAGCUUGUCACCACCGCGCACGUGGCAUCCUGCCGUGGCGUCCCUCGGUCGUGCAGGUGAUAGUUGUGGCUCCUUCCCUUGACUAAACCCAAGAGAAAACUGUGACCGUGGUGGUUUUUCUCCUGUAGCCGGGUCCAAAUCUCUGAAGAACCGCUUUCUAAGACUGCUUUGCUCAAAGAGGAAGUUGAGGAAUAAAGCGGCCGGAAGCCGGUGUAAGGAGUGGGUGUCCUUCAUCACCUCCGAUGGCUUUGGUGCGUCCAAGAGGUUUUACCUAAACCGAAUAUGCCAAACCGAAUAUGCCAGGAACUGCUCAGCGGUCUCUUUCUAAAAGGACGCCCAGCGUGGGGCUCGAACCCACGACCCUGAGAUUAAGAGUCUCAUGCUCUACCGACUGAGCUAGCCGGGCAGCCGUAACCAAGGUGCUGCGGCUGAGUUUCAGAAUUUGUUGGGCUGCAGACAAGUCAAAAUGGCUAAGCAGUUCAGGUCUUGGGGAGAACGGGGAUGUGGCCACUUCUGGAGUCCCUCGGGGCACUCUGCGUGUGGGAACUGCUCAGAAAGGGCUGCGUCCCCAGCCCAGCGUGGGGAGCGGGGAGCCGAGUGGUGGAGGCUGAGGGGCCGCCCUGACCCCCCCCCCCACACACAGAUAGAUGGGCUGGGGGGGGGGGCAGCCGUAGGGAGCCCUGAGGCGUGGACGGGACUCAGCGGACCCGAGCCAGCUGACCCCGCCGCACAUGGACAGGCGGCAGGAAAUGGGGAAGUGACAGCGGGCCCGUCCUCCCUCACGUAAUCAGACAAACCUGCGAACUUAAAAUAAUUAUUAGACCCACCAGAUUCCACCCGUUCGCGGGAAAAUUCCCACCUAUGCUUCCUUUGAAUUAUCAAAAAUCAAUUUAUUUUUAUUAAAAAAUUAAAAAAUAUAUAUAUAUUUUGCCCCCAAACCUUCUUGGUCUGCCCUUGGGCAACCCUGAGCUGCUGAAUCUGCCCCCCACCAUGGUCGGCUGCGGGUGGGGGCGGGUGGGGAGCGGGUUGGGAGACCCCAGGGUGCCUGCCUCCCGCUCGCUGCCUCGGGAUCCAGUCUCCAGGUUUCAGGGCCAAGAGCAAGGUGUCCCUGGACGCAGAGGUUCGGUCCUAGUGUGUCUGCAUGCCUGAGCCCCAGGUGGGUUGGGGCUGGGGCAGCCCCCACCGCACCCCCCUCUCCAGAGCAAGGAGGAAUUUUAGGUAAACAGUAGGCUGGGAGUAGGACCCAGCAGUUCUCUGCUCGUCCCCCGCCCCAAGCUCUGGAGUCGGGGUGGCUCAGUGACUCUGCUGAGGGUCCACUGAGAUUCCAGGCUCCACACCGCAACUGCGUGUGCGGAUCUGGCCCGCAUCCUGAAUACAGCUCACCAGCGUAGACAGGAGGAAGGAGGCAGCAGGGAGCCGGCACACAGACUGGGGAAGACAGAACACGGAGUGCAUGGUGUAGUGGUGUUGGGUGUGUGCAAGGCACUGAGGGUAUUUGAAAACAAAAGGACUUUACUCGCAGAGGUAUUUGCUCCCCACCCCAAAACGAAAAGCUUUUAUGGUUGAGGCUAUACGGUACGUGCUUUAAAAUUAAAAAGUGGAGGAGGACAGGUUUUAAAAACACACAAAAAUG